GAAUUUUGGACAAUGGGCGAAAGCCUGAUCCAGCAAUGCCGCGUGCAGGAUGAAGGCCUUCGGGUUGUAAACUGCUUUUGUACGGAACGAAAAGCUUUGGGUUAAUACCCCGGUGUCAUGCCGCUACCGUACGACUAAGCACCGGAUAACUACGUGCCAGCCGCCGCGGUAAUACGUAGGGUGCAAGCCUUAAACGGAAUUACUGGGCGUAAAGCGUGCGCAGGCGGUUUGUUGAGACAGAGGUGAAAUCCCCGGGCUCAACCUGGGAACUGCCUUUGUGACUGCAAGGCUAGAGUACGGCAGGGGGGGGUGGAAUUCCGCGUGUAGCAGUGAAAUGCGUAGAUAUGCGGAGGAACACCGAUGGCGAAGGCAACCCCCUGGGCCUGUACUGACGCUCAUGCACGAAAGCGUGGGGAGCAAACA
rnacentral:rRNA from 1 species